rnacentral:rRNA from 1 species
CGUGUAGACACGGUAGUUUGAUCCGUGGCUCGAGGACGACGCUGGCGGCGUGCCUAACACAUGCAAGUCGAGCGGAGACAGUGAGUAGCUUGCUAUGAGCUGUUUUAGCGGCGGACGGGUGAGUAACGCGUGAGCAACCUUUCCCAGACAGGGGAAUAACACACCGAAAGGUGUACUAAUACCGCAUAAGACCACGGGAUCACAUGGUUCGUAGGGGUAAAAGAUUUAUCGGGUUUGGGGUGGGCUCGCGUCCGAUUAGGUAGUUGGUGAGGUAACGGCCCACCAAGCCGACGAUCGGUAGCCGACCUGAGAGGGUGAUCGGCCACAUUGGGACUGAGACACGGCCCAAACUCCUACGGGAGGCAGCAGGUGGGGAAUAUUGGGCAAUGGAGGAAACUCUCGACCCAGCAACGCCGCGUGGAGGAAGUAAGGUUUCGGAUACGUAAACUCCUGUCCUUGGAGACGAGUAGAAGACGGUAUCCAAGGGAGGAACGCCCCGGCUAACUACGUG